rnacentral:tRNA from 1 species
AGUCUCGUCGUCCAGCGGCCCAGGAUACUCCCUUGUCACGGGAGAGACGCGGAUUCAAAUUCCGUCGAGACUGCCA